rnacentral:rRNA from 1 species
AUACGGAGGGUGCAAGCGUUACUCGGAAUCACUGGGCGUAAAGCGCGCGCAGGCGGCUAUUUAAGUUGGAUGUGAAAGCCUACGGCUCAACCGUGGAACUGCAUCCAAAACUAUUUAGCUAGAGUGUGGGAGAGGAAGAUGGAAUUAGUUGUGUAGGGGUAAAAUCCGUAGAGAUAACUAGGAAUACCAAAAGCGAAGGCAAUCUUCUGGAACACUACUGACGCUGAGGCGCGAAAGCGUGGGGAGCAAACGGGAUUAGAUACCCUAGUAGUCC